rnacentral:snoRNA from 1 species
AUCCUAUGGUGAGGGCAAGCCAAGAGAUACUAUUGAAAGCGCUCCCACAAUUCACGGAUUGUCUCUUCUGAUGUUUGCUGAAAGUUGGAAAUUCUUCCAUGAAGGGC